AGAGAGAGAGAGAGAGAGAGAGAGGGAGAGAGAGGAUCAGACUUCGGAUCGACGAGGAUAUAUUGAAUCCUUGUCAUAUAUAUGGCAAGAAGCAGAAGAACAAGGCUUCUUAUUAACUAUGUUUGAUGUAGAGAAGACAUACGAGACGAAAAGUUGUUUCGCAUGACCACAAAUAAUUCAAAUGAAGAAAAUAUAUUUCGGAGGGGGAUAUAAACAUUAACACCAGUUCAACUCACGAUGUAACGUGAUUCCUUCAAAUGAAGAGAAUUUCCAGGCCAUCUUAAUUUUCAAUUGCAAUUGCCUAAAAACAAAAUACAUCAAAACAUUUGAUAUACUACUCUCAGAUUCUAAAAAAAGUACAUAUGUGGAAGAAACAUUAUCUAUAUACGAUUCAAAUGGGACACCCACCUGUGGAUGGCUUAUUUCUGCUGCGUACUACAAUGCAAUUUAGUUUGGAUCAAUAUAAAAAUAAUCCAGUGUACAUAGAUGAUGCCAUAAUCAUCAUAUGGCUAUGACAAAUAAUAGCAAUCAAGACGUAAAUCAUGGGGGAUUGAUUUGUGACACAUGUUGUUUAUUGUUUAUAACCAGCGCGAGCAUGUAUAAAGACAAUAACGAUCAUUUAUCUGUAAUUACACCAUUGCGUAGACAACACAGAAGGGUUGGUUCACAAUAUGUGCAAUUAUACUUUCAAUUCUUUUGUAAAAAUAGUUGUAUCACAUCCGGCAGAAUGAAUCAUCGUAGACCAACAGAACUUGUUUUCACAUGAUGAUGGAAGAUGUGCUCUUUAAUAAAUGGAGUACUUGGACGUCGUAAAUUAUUAGUUAGAGUUUGUAGUUGUCCAAAGAAAGAUAAACAAAAAGUGUGAGUAAUGGUUAAAAAAACCCUCAUGACUGUAUGGGAUAUUUGAUUAUGGAUGGAAUCAUGGGAUUGCGUGCAGAGUUGAAGUGAUGGUUUGAAAAACCCUCAUGACUGUAUGGGAUAUUUGGUUAUGGAUGGAAUCAUAAGAUUGCGUGGAAAAUUUGAGUGAUGGUUAAAAAAACCCUCAUGAUCGUGUGGAGUAUUUAAAUUGCUUUUGCGGCUAAUUCCAGCUUGUCUUUCGAUUUCGCGAGAGCUAACGGAUGGAUUUAUCGUAACUGCGGCUAACACUUCCCAAAUCGUUGGAUAGAACGGGGUGGGCCCAUUCAUUUUCCAGUUAGAUCACCAGAUCUAACGCCCCUCGACUUAUUCUUAUGGGGCUACUUAAAAAAUAAAGUUUACGCUGAGCCUCCGACUACAAUAGCCGAUAUGAGGGAUCGUAUCAUCAAUGAAUGCA